rnacentral:lncRNA from 1 species
CACCCGCGCCCGCGCCCGCGGCACCACCGGCGGCACCUCCACCCGCGCUGCCACCCUUGUGCCCGGUGGUAAUCCUCCCGUGAUGCUUCAACUCCACCGUGCUCACCACCUGAUGCCCAGGCCCAAGCUUCCGGCUGGGACUCUGGAAUUCCAGGUGGUCUUUCAUAUCGCCUUCAGUUCGUGAACAAAUUGCCCAACCAGUUUCUUAAUCAGAGACGUGUUAUUCUCCAGGCUAGAGGAUAAUUUGCCCAAUCAUGCAUGGCAAUGAUUCAGGCAGGCACCAAUUAAGAGGGGAAAACAGUGAGAGCAAAACUGACCAUGCAAUUGUUCUUGCACCUGGAGAUGAGGCCUGAGCCGAUGCCGCUUCGUGGAGACUCCAGCG